UAUUCUUCUGUUUAAACUGGUGGAAGCAGAGGUUCAACGCCGUGAAUCGGUGUUGCUCUAUUCGAUGCACCGUGAUUUGGGGAAGGUGAAGUUUCUCACAUGCAGAGACGGAAAGAUCUAUGUAGUUUCAGCACUGAGAUUUGGGGACUCGCCGUCUCGUCCUUGCUCCGCCGUUUCUACCGCCGUCGUCGGUGGCGAGAACCGACGCGGUUAGGUUCUUCGCCGCGAUACUAUCUUAUUUUUCUUCUGGAUAUGCUGAGGCGUAGAAAUGUGAGGAAGAUGAAUUUUGUGUUCCAACUGUUUGUUUGGUUUUCAAUUAGUAUAUAUUUAGGUUAAUUAAGUUUGUAACUAGCGUAAUUAGAGGGUUAGGUGUUAUUUAGAAUAAUUAGUAAUAAGUAGGAUUGAUAGGAUAUAGUUAGAGUAAUGCUAGG
rnacentral:lncRNA from 1 species